UAGGGCGCAACUGAAUAGUCUAAUGUUGUUCCGGUUUUGGUUCUUGUGAACGUUGACAUCGAUUCGUUCGAAAUUACAACUCUCGGGGCAUAAUUGAACAAUAUUAUUAGGUUUUACUCUUUGUUCAAUAGAAUGAGAAAAAGUACUCGUCGCAAAGUUAUACUACUAGGGCACAACUGAGUAGUCUAAUGUUGUUCUGGUUUUGGUUCUUGUGAAUGUUGACAUCGAUUCGUUCCAAAUUUACACUCUCGGGGCAUAGUAGAACAAUAUAAUUAGCUUUUAUACUUUAAUCGAUUGAAUGAGAAAAAGUACUAGUUGCAAAGUUAUACUGUUGGGGCGCAACAUAGUAGUCUAUUAUUGUUCCGAUUUUGGUUCUUGUUAAGGUUGACUUCAAUUCGUUCCAAAUUACACUCUCGUGACAUAAUAGAACAAUAUAAUUAGGUUUUACUCUUUGUUCGAUAGAAUGAGAAAAAGUACUCGCUGCAAAGUUAUACUAUUAGGGCGCAACUGAAUAGUCUAAUGUUGUUCCGGUUUUGGCUCUUGUGAACGUUGACAUCGAUUCGUUCGAAAUUACAACUCUCGGGGCAAAAUUUAACAAUAUAAUUAGGUUUUACUCUUUGUUCAAUAGAAUGAGAAAAAGGACUCGUCGCAAAGUUAUACUAUUAGGGCGCAACUGAGUAGUCUAAUGUUGUCCCGGUUUUGGUUCUUGUGAACGUUGACAUCGAUUCGUUCCAAAUUUACACUCUCGGGGCAUAAUAGAACAAUAUAAUUAGCUUUUAUACUUUGUUCGAUUGAAUGAGAAAAAGUACUAGUUGCAAAGUUAUACUGUUGGGGCGCAACAGAGUAGUCUAUUGUUGUUCCGG
rnacentral:lncRNA from 1 species